rnacentral:rRNA from 1 species
CUGCUGCCUUCCGUAGGAGUUUGGGCCGUGUCUCAGUCCCAAUGUGGCCGGGUCACCCUCUCAGGUCGGCUACUGAUCGUCGGCUUGGUAGGCCGCUGCCCCACCAACUACCUAAUCAGACGCGGGCCCAUCUUAUACCACCGGAGUUUUUCACACCGGAACAUGCGCUCCUGUGCGCUUAUGCGGUAUUAGCAGUCAUUUCUAACUGUUAUCCCCCUGUAUAAGGCAGGUUGCCCACGCGUUACUCACCCGUCCGCCG